rnacentral:tRNA from 1 species
GCCUCCGUAGCACAGCAGCCAGUGCGACUGCUUCGUAAGCAGUAGGCCGGGGGUGCAAUUCCCCCCGGAGGCU